AACGAACGCUCGCGGCAGGCCUAACACAUGCAAGUCGAACGCAUCGCAAGAUGAGUGGCGCACGGGUGAGUAACACGUGGGAAUGUAUCCUUUGGUUCGGAAUAACGUUUGGAAACGGACGCUAAUACCGGAUGAGCCCUUAGGGGGAAAGAUUUAUCGCCGAAGGAGCAGCCCGCGUCUGAUUAGGUAGUUGGUGGAGUAAAGGCCUACCAAGCCGACGAUCAGUAGCUGGUCUGAGAGGAUGAACAGCCACACUGGGACUGAGACACGGCCCAGACUCCUACGGGAGGCAGCAGUGGGGAAUAUUGGACAAUGGGCGCAAGCCUGAUCCAGCCAUGCCGCGUGAGUGAUGAAGGCCUUCGGGUUGUAAAGCUCUUUCGCACACGACGAUGAUGACGGUAGUGUGAGAAGAAGCCCCGGCUAACUUCGUGCCAGCCGCCGCAGUAACAC
rnacentral:rRNA from 1 species